UGCGUAACGCGUAUGCAACUUACCUGUAACUAAAGGAUAGCCCCGAGAAAUUGGGAUUAAUACUUUAUAGUACCAAGAUUUGGCAUCAUUUUUUGGUUAAAGAUUUAUCGGUUACAGAUAGGCAUGCGUCCCAUUAGUUAGUUGGUGAGGUAACGGCUCACCAAGACUUCGAUGGGUAGGGGGCCUGAGAGGGUUAUCCCCCACACUGGUACUGAGACACGGACCAGACUCC
rnacentral:rRNA from 1 species